rnacentral:rRNA from 1 species
GAUGAACGCUGGCGGCGUGCCUAAUACAUGCAAGUCGAGCGAACAGACGAGGAGCUUGCUCCUCUGACGUUAGCGGCGGACGGGUGAGUAACACGUGGAUAACCUACCUAUAAGACUGGGAUAACUUCGGGAAACCGGAGCUAAUACCGGAUAAUAUAUUGAACCGCAUGGUUCAAUAGUGAAAGACGGUUUUGCUGUCACUUAUAGAUGGAUCCGCGCCGCAUUAGCUAGUUGGUAAGGUAACGGCUUACCAAGGCAACGAUGCGUAGCCGACCUGAGGGGGUGAUCGGCCACACUGGAACUGAGACGCGGUCCAGACUCCUACGGGAGGCAGCAGUAGGGAAUCGGCCGCAAGGGGCGAAAGCCUGACGGAGCAACGCCGCGUGAGUGAUGAAGGUCUUCGGAUCGUAAAACUCUGUUAUUAGGGAAGAACAAAUGUGUAAGUAACUAUGCACGUCUUGACGGUACCUAAUCAGAAAGCCACGGCUAACUACG